UAACACGUGGAUAACAUGCCCUAAGGUGGGGGAUAAUCUCGGGAAACUGAGGGUAAUACCCCAUAGGUCUAUUUUGCUGGAAUGCUAAUAGGCCGAAAACUCCGGUGCCUUAGGAUCGGUCUGCGGUCUAUCAGGCUGUAGUGGGUGUAAUGGACCCACUAGCCCGUGACGGAUAUGGGCCUUGAGAGAGGGAGCCCAGAGAUGGACUCUGAGACAUGAGUCCAGGCCCUACGGGGCGCAGCAGUCGCGAAAACUUCGCAAUGGGGGCAACCCCGACGAGGGAAUUCCAAGUGCUAGCACUUUGUGUUAGCUGUUCUCCUGUCUAAAAAACAGGAGGAGUAAGGGGCGGGUAAGACGGGUGCCAGCCGCCGCGGUAAUACCCGCGCCCCAAGUGGUGGUCGAUAUUAUUGAGCCUAAAACGUCCGUAGCCGGUCUUCUAAAUCCUUGGGUAAAUCGGGCAGCUUAACUGUCCGAAGUCCGGGGAGACUGGGAGACUUGGGACCGGGAGAGGUCAGAGGUACUUCUGGGGUAGGGGUAAAAUCCUGUAAUCCUGGAAGGACCACCGGUGGCGAAGGCGUCUGACUAGAACGGAUCCGACGGUGAGGGACGAAGCCCUGGGGCGCAAACGGGAUUAGAUACCCCGGUAGUCCAGGGUGUAAACGCUGCGGGCUUGGUGUUGGGGGUCCUUAGUGGGCGCCCAGUGCCGGAGAGAAGUUGUUAAGCCUGCUGCUUGGGGAGUAUGUCCGCAAGGAUGAAACUUAA
rnacentral:rRNA from 1 species